rnacentral:misc_RNA from 1 species
AUUUUUUUUUUUUUUUUUUGGUUAAUUGAUGAAGGUGAAAGUUUAGCGUCCCCCAGUUAUAGUCUGCUGAUGUGUGUAAGUAUGUGCGUACGAGUUAUUUGUAUGAUUAGACUUUAAGCAGAUGAACUUUGCUGCUACAGUGAAUUAUAUGAAUUCAAUUUAUUUUGCUCUGUGCUGUUGUAAUCAACCAAACAAUUUUUCUAUCUAGGUUCCACUCUAUGUGGCAACAA